UACAGAGGUCUCAAGCGUUGUUCGGAUUCAUUGGGCGUAAAGGGUGCGUAGGCGGCGCGGUAAGUCGGGUGUGAAAUCUCGGAGCUUAACUCCGAAACUGCAUUCGAUACUGCCGUGCUUGAGGACUGGAGAGGAGACUGGAAUUUACGGUGUAGCGGUGAAAUGCGCAGAUAUCAGGAAGAACACCCGUGGCGAAGGCGGCUCUCUAGUACGGUACUGACGCUGAGACGCGAAAGCGUGGGGGAGCGAACAGG
rnacentral:rRNA from 1 species